rnacentral:rRNA from 1 species
UACGGGGGGGGCAAGCGUUGUUCGGAAUUACUGGGCGUAAAGGGCUCGUAGGCGGCCAACUAAGUCGGAUGUGAAAUCCCCCAGGCUCAACCUGGGAACUGCAUCCGAUACUGGAUGGCUUGAAUUCGGGAGAGGGAUGCAGAAUUCCAGGUGUAGCGGUGAAAUGCGUAGAUAUCUGGAGGAAUACCGGUGGCGAAGGCGGCAUCCUGGACCGACAUUGACGCUGAGGAGCGAAAGCUAGGGGAGCAAACGGG